rnacentral:rRNA from 1 species
AUUGAACGCUGGCGGCAGGCCUAACACAUGCAAGUCGAGCGAAUGAGGGAAGCUUGCUUCCCGAUUUAGCGGCGGACGGGUGAGUAAUGCCUAGGAAUCUGCCUAUUAGUGGGGGAUAACGUUCCGAAAGGAACGCUAAUACCGCAUACGUCCUACGGGAGAAAGUGGGGGAUCUUCGGACCUCACGCUAAUAGAUGAGCCUAGGUCGGAUUAGCUAGUUGGUGGGGUAACGGCUCACCAAGGCGACGAUCCGUAGCUGGUCUGAGAGGAUGAUCAGCCACACUGGAACUGAGACACGGUCCAGACUCCUACGGGAGGCAGCAGUGGGGAAUAUUGGACAAUGGGCGAAAGCCUGAUCCAGCCAUGCCGCGUGUGUGAAGAAGGUCUUCAGAUUGUAAAGCACUUUAAGUUGGGAGGAAGGGUUGUAAGCUAAUAUCUUGCAGCUUUGACGUUACCAACAGAAUAAGCACCGGCUAACUCUGUGCCAGCAGCCGCGGUAACAC